CUGAUGCAGCGACGCCGCGUGAGGGAUGACGGCCUUCGGGUUGUAAACCUCUGUUAGCAGGGAAGAAGAGAGAUUGACGGUACCUGCAGAGAAAGCGCCGGCUAACUACGUGCCAGCAGCCGCGGUAAUACGUAGGGCGCGAGCGUUGUCCGGAAUUAUUGGGCGUAAAGAGCUUGUAGGCGGUUUGUCGCGUCUGCUGUGAAAGGCCGGGGCUUAACCCCGUGUAUUGCAGUGGGUACGGGCAGACUAGAGUGCAGUAGGGGAGACUGGAAUUCCUGGUGUAGCGGUGGAAUGCGCAGAUAUCAGGAGGAACACCGAUGGCGAAGGCAGGUCUCUGGGCUGUAACUGACGCUGAGAAGCGAAAGCAUGGGGAGCGAACA
rnacentral:rRNA from 1 species